GUGAGGAAUAUUGCGCAAUGGAGGCAACUCUGACGCAGCCAUGCCGCGUGCAGGAAGAAGGCGCUACGCGUUGUAAACUGCUUUUAACCGGGAAGAAACCCCAGGACGUGUCCUGGGUUGACGGUACCGGAGGAAUAAGCACCGGCUAACUUUGUGCCAGCAGCCGCGGUAAUACGAAGGGUGCAAGCGUUAUCCGGAUUCAUUGGGUUUAAAGGGUGCGUAGGCGGAGCGUUAAGUCAGUGGUGAAAUCCUGCAGCUUAACUGUAGACUUGCCAUUGAUACUGGCGCUCUUGAGUGCGCUUGAAGUGGGCGGAAUGUGCCGUGUAGCGGUGAAAUGCUUAGAUAUGGCACAGAACACCAAUUGCGAAGGCAGCUCACUAAGGCGAUACUGACGCUGAGGCACGAAAGCGUGGGGAUCGAACAGGAUUAGAAACCCCGGUAGUCC
rnacentral:rRNA from 1 species